UACGUAGGGGGCAAGCGUUGUCCGGAUUUAUUGGGCGUAAAGAGCGUGUAGGCGGCCAUACAGGUCCGUUGUGAAAACUGGAGGCUUAACCUCCAGACGUCGAUGGAAACCGUAUGGCUAGAGUCCGGAAGAGGAGAGUGGAAUUCCUGGUGUAGCGGUGAAAUGCGCAGAUAUCAGGAAGAACACCCGUGGCGAAGGCGGAUCUCUGGGCCUUACCUGACGCUGAGGCGCGAAAGCUAGGGGAGCGAACAGG
rnacentral:rRNA from 1 species